UUCCCAGGUUGAUGGAGUAAGUGAUGAAGUGAUUUACCAACUAUAGCUACUCCACUCAGCUCAGAAUGGCUACAGGGAAUAUAUUCAGACUUACCAAAGAAGUCUGUCCCUGAAUAAAAUACCUUGAGGU
rnacentral:lncRNA from 1 species